rnacentral:rRNA from 1 species
AUUGAACGCUGGCGGCAGGCUUAACACAUGCAAGUCGAGCGGGGUGAUGGUGCUUGCACUAUCACUUAGCGGCGGACGGGUGAGUAAUGCUUAGGAAUCUGCCUAUUAGUGGGGGACAACGUCUCGAAAGGGAUGCUAAUACCGCAUACGUCCUACGGGAGAAAGCAGGGGAUCACUUGUGACCUUGCGCUAAUAGAUGAGCCUAAGUCGGAUUAGCUAGUUGGUGGGGUAAAGGCCUACCAAGGCGACGAUCUGUAGCGGGUCUGAGAGGAUGAUCCGCCACACUGGGAAUGAGACACGGCCCAGACUCCUACGGGAGGCAGCAGUGGGGAAUAUUGGACAAUGGGGGGAACCCUGAUCCAGCCAUGCCGCGUGUGUGAAGAAGGCCUUAUGGCUGUAAAGCACUUUAAGCGAGGAGGAGGCUCUUUUGGUUAAUACCCAAGAUGAGUGGACGUUACUCGCAGAAUAAGCACCGGCUAACUCUGUGCCAGCCGCCGCAGUAA